rnacentral:lncRNA from 1 species
CUGCAUUGCUGCAGUGACAGCUGUGUAAAACCAGUGUACUGAGAGCAAAUCAGACUUGGAAUUUUUUACCUCUGAAUGUCUCUGCAAAGCAAGUGCUCCAUCGGGUACAGGGGCAACCAGAACAGGAACAACUAAAUACUCUUCACACUUCCAUUGUUGAUCUCCCAUCUUUGGACAAGAUGUCUCUUCACAGCAUCUGACAGAAUAUGGCCCAAGGUGAGAGAGAAUGCAUGCCGUAGCAGGGUGACAGAAAAUUUGCAGAGGAUUAUGGGAGACAUGAUGCAAACACUGCUGGACGUAAAAUCACUCGAGAAGCAAAUGCUGCAGAGAACAAGUAGAAAGCGACAAAACUUCAUCCCAACAAGAACGUUCUAUAACUGCUCACCAGUAAAACUGGACAACAUUUACAGCGGCAAAAACAGGAUAUAAUGCACAGUUAAACUUCAUGAUGGCUUGGAUAUCAUUCUGUUCAAGGUAGCAAAUGACAUGUUCAGUACUUUCUAUUUCCAUGGAAUAUAUAACACCACAAAAGAAAUAAAACCGCCCCAGCAUUUGUGAAGCCUAUGCUA